GCCGUCGUUGCUGCUUUCCGAACUUGUGCUACGAUGCAUGGAGAUUCGUGGCUGGCUUCCGGUCUUGAAAUGACAGCAAGUGAUAAUCCUGACUGGUUGCGUCGGGAGCUCUUCAGGGACUGUUUAGCGGCAGUCAGCUAGAGGUUUGGGGAGCAAUUUGGUGAAAGUACCGCGGAAAUACUCAUGGAGCUCCUCGUCCUUAUGCCUCUCAUCUAGCUGGUGCGGAUCUUUACGUGCAUAUGAUGGAGCACGGCAGAAUGACAGCAAUGCCAUUCUACGUCCGUGACGGCUAUUUGGUAAUGCGAUGCUUUUCUAGUUUCUUUGAGAAGUCUCGUGAACUCAAAACAUCCGUUGAUUGAAAGCUGAAGAUACAAAGAGAGUGGAACUUACAGACAGGACAUUCUGUGCAAUAAAUGGACUUUACUUCUCGAGCAGGUCUACCAGAUUCGGAUACAGUUGCGUGCUCUCUUGACAAACACAGAGCUUAAAGAAGUAGUAGACUUACGAAACUGUACUUCUGCCUGAGAACUAUCAGGCUUUCUUUUAAGGUUUUCGAGAUCUGGUCAGUCUGCUGCCUCAAA